AGCAGCUAAGACUUGCUGCUGGAUUACUUUUGCUGCGGCAUGGAGUUCUCCUCCGGUAGAGCUGAUCCGAAAUGUGUUUUCCCUCGCCCUCCAAGCAGUUGCUGUGAUGUUAUGCCACAGAUGUCCAUAAAAUGAUGCCCAUCGUGAUGUUUACCGGAGCUGCAAUCAAGUGUGUUUUGGAUACAUUUUUAGUCCUUGAAUGUGGACCUCAUCCUGUACAAGUCCCACGGGUGCAAGUUCCGGUAGCACAAUAUGGAUUUGUCUGUGGUAGCGAGGAGAACAUCCUGAUUAAGAUGAAUGGGCGUGGAGGUGGAGAGAAA